UAUACCAUAGAUAAUGUACCUCUUAGUUCGGGAUAGCCACUGGAAACGGUGAUUAAUACCGGAUACUCCUUCUUGCUCUAAGGUAAGUCGGGAAAGUUUUUUCGCUAACAGAUCAGUCUAUGUCCUAUCAGUUAGUUGGUGAGGUAACGGCUCACCAAGGCAAUGACGGGUAGCGGUUCUGAGAGGAUGAUCCGCCACACUGGUACUGAGACACGGACCAGACUCCUACGGGAGGCAGCAAUGAGGAAUAUUGCACAAUGGGCGAAAGCCUGAUGCAGCAACGCCGCGUGGAGGAUGACGCAUUUCGGUGUGUAAACUCCUUUUAUAUGUCAAGAAAAUGACGGUAGCAUAUGAAUAAGCACCGGCUAACUCCGUGCCAGCAGCCGCGGUAAUACGGAGGGUGCAAGCGUUACUCGGAAUCACUGGGCGUAAAGGACGCGUAGGCUGUUUAGCAAGUCAGAUGUGAAAUCCAAUGGCUCAACCAUUGAACUGCAUUUGAAACUGCUAGACUAGAGUAUGGGAGGGGGAGAUGGAAUUAGUGGUG
rnacentral:rRNA from 1 species